CUCCCGUUGAUCCCGCCGGACCUGACUGCUAUCGGAUUGGUACUAAGCCAUGCGAGUCAUUGUAGCAAUACAAGGCGGACGGCUCAGUAACACGUAGUCAACCUAACUCGUGGACGUGGAUAACCUCGGGAAACUGAGAAUAAACCACGAUAGAUCAUAGUGCCUGGAAUGGCUUAUGGUCCAAACAGUUUACUGCCAUGGGAUGGGACUGCGGCCUAUCAGCUUGUUGGUGAGGUAAUGGCCCACCAAGGCGAUUACAGGUACGGGCUCUGAGAGGAGAAGCCCGGAGAUGGGUACUGAGACACGGACCCAGGCCCUAUGGGGCGCAGCAGGCGAGAAACCUUAGCAAUGUGCGAAAGCACGACUGGGUCAGUCCGAGUGAUUCCUGAUAAAGGAGUCUUUUGCUUGUCCUAAAAGCACAGGUGAAUAAGGGGUGGGCAAGUCUGGUGUCAGCCGCCGCGGUAAUACCAGCACCUCGAGUGGUCAGGACGUUUAUUGGGCCUAAAGCAUCCGUAGCCGGCUCUGCAAGUCUUCGGUUAAAUCCACCUGCUCAACAGAUGGGCUGCUGGAGAUACUACAGAGCUAGGGAGUGGGAGAGGCAGACGGUAUUCAGUGGGUAGGGGUAAAAUCCUCUGAUCCAUUGAGGACCACCAGUGGCGAAGGCGGUCUGCCAGAACACGUUCGACGGUGAGGGAUGAAAGCUGGGGGAGCAAACCGGAUUAGAUACCCGGGUAGUCCCAGCUGUAAACGAUGCAAACUCGGUGAUGCAUUGGCUUAUGGCCAAUGCAGUGCCGCAGGGAAGCCGUUAAGUUUGCCGCCUGGGAAGUACGGACGCAAGUCUGAAACUUAAAGGAAUUGGCGGGGGAGCA
rnacentral:rRNA from 1 species